UGAAAGCUUAGAGAGAAAGGGUACUUGUUUUCUAGGGCACUUUUGUGGUCAUCACAUGCAUGUCUGCUUUUCUUCUUCACUGUUCCUUUGAAGCUCCAAUUGAAUGUGUUCGCUUCCGUUGUCGUUGAAAGGUUAGGCAACGCUAAACAGCCCAUCAGUGACUUCACUAGACGCCUCUUGCUUCCUCUCAUAGAGAAGAAGGAUAGACAUAAUGGGAAGAGAGACAGCAUGGAGGGAUCACAUAAGGUGAAAUGAAAGGGUUCUUACACAUAGUGUCUGAGUUUGUAGGAUGUUAGUUUGUGAUUUAAGGUAGUGUGGUGGAGUUUGGUAGAGAUGCAGAACUUUGCGUCCAUCUCCAUUGCAUCCACCUUUACAAAUCUCUUCUCUCUGUUUUGGUAUGUGUUCCUCAUUUCCAUUUUUCUCUUUUAUUUUUGGCUUUUGUCAUUUUCUCUAAUUUUCACAACCAUGGAAAUCUAAUAUCGCUUUUGCAUUGCAAUUUGAUGUGAUGAAUUUAGAAACUUGUAAUUGUUUGGAGAGUUGUUCUGUUGUGGUAA